rnacentral:rRNA from 1 species
UACGUAGGGGGCAAGCGUUGUCCGGAUUUAUUGGGCGUAAAGAGCGUGUAGGCGGCCAUACAGGUCAGCUGUGAAAACUCGAGGCUCAACCUCGAGACGCCGAUGGAAACCAUCAGACUAGAGUCCGGAAGAGGAGAGUGGAAUUCCUGGUGUAGCGGUGAAAUGCGCAGAUAUCAGGAAGAACACCCGUGGCUAAGGCGGCUCUCUAGUACGGUACUGACGCUGAGACGCGAAAGCGUGGGGAGCGAACAGG